GACAAACGCUGGCGGCGUGCAUAAAACAUGCAAGUCGAACGGACUUCAGUCCGCAAGGACUGAAGUGAGUGGCGAACGGCUGAGUAACACGUAGGUGACCUGCCCCGAAGUUUGGGAUAACACCUCGAAAGAGGUGCUAAUACCGGAUGUGACCACCGAUUCAUUUCGGUGCUUAAAGUCGCAAGACGCUUUGGGAGGGG
rnacentral:rRNA from 1 species